rnacentral:rRNA from 1 species
GAUGAACGCUGGCGGCGUGCCUAAUACAUGCAAGUCGAGCGAACAGACGAGGAGCUUGCUCCUCUGACGUUAGCGGCGGACGGGUGAGUAACACGUGGAUAACCUACCUAUAAUACUGGGAUAACUUCGGGAAACCGGAGCUAAUACCGGAUAAUAUAUUGAACCGCAUGGUUCAAUAGUGAAAGACGGUUUUGCUGUCACUUAUAGAUGGAUCCGCGCCGCAUUAGCUAGUUGGUAAGGUAACGGCUUACCAAGGCAACGAUGCGUAGCCGACCUGAGAGGGUGAUCGGCCACACUGGAACUGAGACACGGUCCAGACUCCUACGGGAGGCAGCAGUAGGGAAUAUUCCGCAAUGGGCGAAAGCCUGACGGAGCAACGCCGCGUGAGUGAUGAAGGUCUUCGGAUCGUAAAACUCUGUUAUUAGGGAAGAACAAAUGUGUAAGUAACUAUGCACGUCUUAACGGUACCUAAUCAGAAAGCCACGGCUAACUACGUG